rnacentral:rRNA from 1 species
CACGAAGAAACAAGGUGAACGCAAGAAGAAAAACAAACGACAAAGGGUAGAAAAAGAAAAGACGAUACGAACAGCAAAGGUUCAGAUACCAAUGAUGACGACGAUGACAGGGAACAUGAUGCAGAUUUCAUUCCUACAGACGGCGAUGAUGCCGAAGAGCAUGACAGCGACGCAGAACAUGACGACGAUAACAAAUCAGGACAGAAGGACAGAAAGAGGAGAAAGACAAGCGGAAAAGAAUUGGCAGCACCAACAGUUGACGAAGAACAGCAGGAAACAAACGAAGGGAAAUGCCAAAUCAAGGCAGGGGCAGCAUUCGCUCAUGUCAAGAAAGCAUGGAAUUUACUUAAAGACCGUCACAAGCAAGAUAUUAGGAUGGCAAGAUUUGGCAGCAUAG